UACGUAGGGUGCGAGCGUUGUCCGGAAUUAUUGGGCGUAAAGAGCUUGUAGGCGGCCUGUCGCGUCGGAUGUGAAAGCCCGGGGCUUAACCCCGGGUCUGCAUUCGAUACGGGCAGGCUAGAGUGUGGUAGGGGAGAUCGGAAUUCCUGGUGUAGCGGUGAAAUGCGCAGAUAUCGAGAGGAACACCUGCGGCGAAGGCGGGUUGCUGGGCUGACACUGACGCUGAUGCGCGAAAGCUAGGGGAGCGAACGGG
rnacentral:rRNA from 1 species